rnacentral:lncRNA from 1 species
ACGUGAAGCUCGCCCUGGCAACCCCACGUGCUGCGGAUUAGUGCACUUCCGGCGUGCAGAGCUGCCUGCAGUCGACUGUUUGAAGCUUCGCAGUGUUCCCGGGCGAGAUGCAUCCUCAUCUUCAGUUCGGCGCCCAGUUGACCUUGGGGACGACUAUUAGGACCAGGUAGCUUGCUCUGGGCCCUAGCACGCAGAGCUCUGGAUUCCCAAAGCCUCAGGACCUAACUGAUAUCAGGCACUAUGCUCAUUCUACAAAGAGAUCAUGUUUGCAGAGUACUGACCACCAUCCAGGAAGAGAAGCUUUGUUUCUGAUGAGAACCUACUUCUGACCUACUGAAAGCUACAACUGCAAACAUAUGCACUGAGUGUCAUUAACACUGUUUCUUGAGGGGGAGUACGGUUCUGAGUGAAUCUGAAUGUGGGAAAUGAGGGAGAGAUGAUAUCUGAAAACCUCUGUAAGUUGCCUCAUGCUGCCUAAUAAAGAAUGAAUAAAGUAAGGAAUUCUUA